CCUACGGGAGGCAGCAGUGGGGAAUAUUGCACAAUGGGGGAAACCCUGAUGCAGCAACGCCGCGUGGAUGAAGAAGUAUUUCGGUUUGUAAACCUCUUUUAUCAGGGAAGAAAAUGACGGUAUCUGACUAAUAAGCACCGGCUAACUACGUGCCAGCAGCCGCGGUAAUACGGAGGGUGCAAGCGUUAUCCGGAUUUACUGGGUGUAAAGGGAGCGUAGACGGGAGGACAAGUCAGGUGUGAAAUCCUGUGGCUUAACCACAGAACUGCAUUUGAAACUGUUAUUCUAGAGUAUAGGAGAGGUAAGUGGAAUUCCUGGUGUAGCGGUGAAAUGCGUAGAGAUUAGGAGGAACACUAGUGGCGAAGGCGGAUUACUGGAACGUAACUGACGGUGAGGCGCGAAAGCGUGGGGAGCAAACAGGAUUAGAUACCCUUGUAGUC
rnacentral:rRNA from 1 species